GAAAAAGAAAAAGCGAGCUAAAGAAGAAUCUAACAACUAGAAUAAGAGGUGUCUGGUGACCUAAGAGAUACAAUUUUUUUCAAGGAGAGAAGAGUGUGUUUGCCCACUUGCCACUCUCUGUGCCCACGUGUGAGAUGUUUUUCUGCAGCCUUUUCACUUGAUACUCAGAUCUUCAGGGACUUAGCAGCUCUAGUGCUAAUAUUCCUUAGAUUUGUGUACUCUAAAUCAAGCAGUAAAGAAUGUGAUCAUCUUUGUGAUCUUACUUCUAAGUAAAAUGAAUCAUAGUUUUGAACCAAGAAGCUUUCUCCUCAGGAAACAGCACUGAAGGUAAAGGUCUAUAAAACCUCAUCUCCAUCAUUUUUGCCCAUAUAAAUAAGAUAUAAUUCUGGAUGAACUCU
rnacentral:lncRNA from 1 species